rnacentral:rRNA from 1 species
UUUCAUGUGUUUUACGAUAGACACCCUUUUAAUGCAUGUGUAGAAUGUCUUACUUUUUGUGAUCACACACAAUCAAUACAACUUUCAACANCGAAUCUCUUGNCUCUCGCAUCGAUGAAGAACGCAGCGAAAUGCGAUACGUAAUGUGAAUUGCAGAAUUCNGUGAAUCAUCGAAUCUUUGAACGCACCUUGCGCCCUUUGGUAUUCCGAAGGGCACACCCGUUUGAGUGUCGUGACAUCCUCAAACCUUCUUGGUUUCUUGACUAGGAAGGCUUUGCGACUUUGNNGCUUUUGCUGGNCUUCUCUUGUUGAAGCCAGCUCCUCUGAUAUGAAUUAGUGGGGNCUGCUUUUGCUGAUCCUUGACGUGAUUAAGAUGUUUUCUUCGUCUUGGGAGUUUAGUACUGUUUUGCUCUGGAUCCUGCUUUCUAACUG